rnacentral:rRNA from 1 species
AAGGCUUGGGCGAGAGUAGUACUAGGAUGGGUGACCUCCUGGGAAGUCCUCGUGUUGCACCCC